GACGAACGCUUGCGGCGUGCCUAAGAAAUGCAAGUCGAACGGGGGCUUCGGCCCUAGUGGCGAACGGUCGCGUAACACGUGGGCAACCUGCCCUGAAGCGGGGGGACAACAGUUCGAAAGGACUGCUAAUACCGCAUGUGGACCUUUUUCGGCAUCGAUUAAGUCUAAAGGAUUUAUCCACUUCAGGAUGGGCCCGCGGCCUAUCAGCUAGUUGGUGAGGUAACGGCUCACCAAGGCUUCGACGGGUAGCUGGUCUGAGAGGACGACCAGCCGGAUUGGGACUGAGAUACGGGCCCAGACUCCUACGGGGGGCAGCAAUUAGGGAAUCUUGCGCAAUGGGGGCAACCCUGACGCAGCGACGCCGCGUGAAGGAUGAAGUCCU
rnacentral:rRNA from 1 species